rnacentral:rRNA from 1 species
CGGAGCCAUCCUUGGGAUACCACCCUUGUAGUACUGGGACUCUAACCAUAGGCCAUGAAUCUGGUCUUGGGACACUGUCAGGUGGGCAGUUUGACUGGGGCGGUCGCCUCCCAAAAGGUAACGGAGGCGCUCAAAGGUUCUCUCAGUACGGUCGGAAAUCGUACGUAGAGUGUAAAGGCAAAAGAGAGCUUGAUUGCAAGACAUACAGGUCGAGCAAGGAUGAAAAUCGGACUUAGUGAUCCGGUGGUUCUGCGUGGAAGGGCCAUCGCUCAACGGAUAAAAGCUACCCUGGGGAUAACAGGCUUAUCUCCCCCAAGAGUCCACAUCGACGGGGAGGUUUGGCACCUCGAUGUCGGCUCAUCACAUCCUGGGGCUGUAGUAGGUCCCAAGGGUUGGGCUGUUCGCCCAUUAAAGUGGUACGCGAGCUGGGUUCAGAACGUCGUGAGACAGUUCGGUCCCUAUCCGUCGCAGGCGUAGGAAAUUUGAGAAGACCUGUCCUUAGUACGAGAGGACCGGGAUGGACGUACCUCUGGUGUACCAGUUGU